CGAGAAUGGUGCUAACGGUUUGUUCGGGGCGCGUCCUCCUUGAUAAAUGUGUAAUACAUGAAGAUAAAUAAUAAUCCUGACCGUGUUAUUCGCUUUUAUGAAUAAACUGGACGUGCUCAGUAAAAAUUACACGGACGGCAACAUGUUUGCGACGGUGAAAGAGAAGAUAGGAGCGGACACCGCGCGUGUUGACAAUAAUGGAGGCCGCGGUGAAAGCAGCUGAGGUGCUAGCAACCCCCCAGCCCGGCGUUGAAGACGCGUGCCCAGAGGAAGGCUCCUCGCCUCAGGCAGCGUCCAUACCCACUGUCCAGGCUCUGCUGGACCCCAUGGAGGAUCUGAGCCGAAAACUGGAGGACAUUCUGAAGACCUAUGGUACCGCUGACACCGCUGUCAACCUACAGUCUAUGGACCCAGAAAAGAUGGAAG
ensembl:lncRNA